UACAUGUGGGGCAAGCGUUGUUCGGAAUUACUGGGCCUAAAGGGUGCGUAGGCGGCUUGUUAAGUCAGGGGUGAAAGUUUUCGGCCCAACCGGAAAAUGGCCUUUGAUACUGGCGAGCUUGAGUGCGUGAGGGGUAACCGGAACGAGUCGUGUAGCGGUGAAAUGCGUAGAUAUGACUCGGAAGGCCAAAGGCGAAGGCAGGUUACUGGUACGCAACUGACGCUGAGGCACGAAAGCGUGGGGAGCAAACAGG
rnacentral:rRNA from 1 species